rnacentral:rRNA from 1 species
GAUGAACGCUGGCGGCGUGCCUAAUACAUGCAAGUCGAGCGAACGGACGAGAAGCUUGCUUCUCUGAUGUUAGCGGCGGACGGGUGAGUAACACGUGGAUAACCUACCUAUAAGACUGGGAUAACUUCGGGAAACCGUAGCUAAUACCGGAUAAUAUUUUGAACCGCAUGGUUCAAAAGUGAAAGACGGUCUUGCUGUCACUUAUAGAUGGAUCCGCGCUGCAUUAGCUAGUUGGUAAGGUAACGGCUUACCAAGGCAACGAUGCAUAGCCGACCUGAGAGGGUGAUAGGCCACACGGGAACUGAGACACGGUCCAGACUCCUACGGGAGGCAGCAGUAGGGAAUCGUCCGCAAUGGGCGAAAGCCUGACGGAGCAACGCCGCGUGAGUGAUGAAGGUCUUCGGAUCGUAAAACUCUGUUAUUAGGGAAGAACAUAUGUGUAAGUAACUGUGCACAUCUUGACGGUACCUAAUCAGAAAGCCACGGCUAACUACGUG